AUGAAUCAACCAAUUGACUUGCAAAAGCCCAAACUUGUAUUCCUAUCUUGGCAGACAAUCUUGUUCCUGACACGGGCAAUAAUGGACCACUCCGGGAUGCAAGUCCAAGAGCAGCUGAAUGCAAAACAACACAUGGCAUCGACUUGUUGGCAGCGGUUGCCACAGGCACCUGCCCUGCCCAGAUCACAUCUCCAGCAGCAAAUGGAAAUCCCAAACAUACUUGCAACUGCUCUUGCUGAUGCGCCUCCUCCAUCCGAAGGCAGGCAGGCUCCCGGUCGCAGCAGAGCAAGGAGAGGACACGGACAAGGAGCGAGAGAGCCACCUAUCCUCAAGCCGGCUGAUAUGAGGCUGCAGUGA
rnacentral:rRNA from 1 species